GUUUGUCAUUCAGGCUGACUUGAUAAAAAAAAAUAGCAACGUCCGACCCUGAGAGGAACAGCCCGGCUUCUCUUAAACAAGAUAAUUCAUCACACCAUUAACAGCAGGACGAAUGUUCAUCAUCAUCUCCAUCCUCACAUUAACGUCUGACACCCGGCGUGCAGUGGGGCCAAUAAGCAGCGGAUGCGGCCGGUGCCCGGCUGCAGGCGGCCCUCUCAAUGGUCUCUCCCACCAUGAAAGCGGUGGUGGAUGCUGUAUGGGCAGUGUGGAGCAUCGGGGCCUCCAUCUAUGACUACAUCCACACCAACGCCAUGGAGGAGCGCAUCCACGCCCUGGAGAAUGUCAUCACCAUCCACCAGUGUGUGAUCGGGCUGCUGUCUGCUGGUGUAUUGGUACUCUUCACUUACAUCCUCUUCAAGAAGCUCUGAAGAUGCGUGAAGGAGUGGGCUGGGGCUGACAUGCGAGACGUGGGCGGACUAGGAUCAGACACCAGAGUCGAAUGUGGUAAAGCAAACACUGAUCAGACAGACAAUGAGGAAUUUUACACUUUGGGUACAUUAGAUAGACUCAUAAGAGCUGGAGGGUACAUGGAGACUGUAGGGAGGAAAUAUCAUGGGACCUAUUCAGACAGGGUGGUACCGAGAUGCCUCUACAAAUGAUCAAAACACAAAGUUACAAUUUUUAAAAAAACUUUUUUAACAUCAUUGCAGUGCCACCUUUUUCCUAAAUCUGUUUUGGGGAAAACACUGAGGUACAUGUCCUCUAUCAGUAAUGUAGUUGUUGUGGAGGAAGUGAGCAUGCGGGGCUACAGGGUCCACCUGUUUUUUAAAUGCCGGCAUAGAUCGUUUUUGUAGUGAUGAUGACAGAUUUUAUGCGUCAGUAAUAUGGACCUUUAAAUUUUAAUUGUGAAUUUAGAUUUAACACUUCAUUUUAAAGGCUUAAGCACCAAAAGGAUUAAUUGUACCCUCCUAAAAUUUUAUUCUUAACUGAGUUAAGCAUAAAAAAGGCAUUUAGACCAUCACAGGGACUUUGUGACUCAGCAGCUUAUUGCAGGUUUUACAGACUGAAGCUGUUGAUUUGAAUAUGUCCUGAACACAUUUGAGUAUUUUCUCAGGUUAACUAUCUUUAUCUAAUCUUUUUUUUUUAAACUGUCAGCACAUAUACUUCAUUAUAUCUGCAGGAAAUAUCAACUGGGCCAAUUUGCAGUAUUUCGAAUUGCCCAAGUAGUUCAAUAUAAGAAAACCAGUACAAUUACCAACCCUAUCAGAAACCCCAUUUACAUAGAGAAAACUUUAGCUGAUGGUAUGUGUGUGUCUUUAGCCUCAGCAAAGAAAUUCGCUCUUUUCCUAAAGGGAUCAUACUGAAAAGAAUCAUUCACAACUUUUGCCUUAAAAGCACAUUCUGUUUUCUCUCUCUUGUUGUUGUCAUGUUUGCACUAAUUUCUCUUAAAGCCUGUGGUGUAACAACAUUUGUUUAGUAGAGAAUGAGUGCAGUUUCUAUUUAUGUGUCUCAUAUUCCCCAAAAUUAUCCCAAUGGAUCUUUCAUGAACAUGUCUUUCAGUGAAUAGGGAGCAUUAAGUCAGUUGAUAACACCUUCACAUUUUCUGAGUCUGUAAGCAUACUUCAUUUUGUGUUGUAGUGUCAAAUGAGAGAAAGCGCCUCCUAAAAUCUCUUAUGAUAUAAUUUUCUUACACCCCAUAACUGUUACAUAACUGCUGGCACAAGUGUUGUAUAAAGUACAACAAUUUGAAGUGUCCUUAAAAACUGUAAUUAUGUUUAGAUGUUCACAGGCAGUUUUUUCUCAGCUGGCCAUUGAAACGUUUGUGCUACUGCUCCAUAGUACAACUGCUGCUUAAUAUUUAUGGUUUUUUUUUUUUUUUUUAAGGCUACAUUUUGUAUCAUGUGCCAACAUAAUAUUUAAAUGAGAUGAUACUAGGUACCGACUGCAGACACUGGAUGAAUGAAUGGUGUGAAAUGAGAAGAUAAAGGUUGUUUUUGUCAUAGUAACUUAAAUUAGCUUCACUAACCUACCAAGACAAAUACGUGGUGGGUUAUUGGAAACUGCUGCAAUAAGAGUCUUGAAGUUUAGGAAAAGAAGUGUGUGUUCUGUAUUUAUCUCUGUGCAUUUGUUACUGCCCCAGAGGGAACAUAACAAGAAAACACCCAAGGAUGAAACACUGUUUUAAUAUUGUUUUAACAGCAUCAAAGGUUUGUCUUCUCAGAAUGCCAAAUAAAUGUGGAAUUCUU